CGUGAGGUGGUAUCUGAGUGUGGUUUUGAUUUGUAUUUUCCUGAUGACAUAUCGGACAAAGAGCUAGUAUCCAAAACAAUUUUUUUUUUGAGGAUGGGAUUUUUAUUGGAGUUGAGUUGUAUUUAUAGAUCUAUUUUGGGAGAAUUGCCAUCUUACCAGUAAUGAAUCUUAACAAUUCAUGAACAUGGUAUAUCUUUCCAUUUAUUUAGAUCUUUUAAAAUUUCUAUCAGCAGUAUUUUGUAGUUUUUGGGUCUUACACGUCUUUUGUCACCUUUAUUUCUAAAUAUUUUCCUUCUUAGUGCUAUUAUGAACUGCAUUAUUUUCUUUAUAGGUUGUUCACUAUCAAUAUAUAGAAGUAUUGAUUUUUAUAUCCUGUGGCAUUCUCAUUUAUUAGUUCUGGGUGGUAUUUUCAGAUACACUAGUAUUUUCCAAAUAUAGGAUCAUAUCAUCUGCAAAUAAAGACAGUUUUAUUUCUUCUUUUCCAGUCUGAAUGCCUUUAAUUUCUUUUUCUUAUCUUCUUGACAGCCUAUAACUUAUAGUAUGAUAUUGAAUAGAAGUGAUAUUGAGUAGUUCUUUGGGAUGCCUGGCUGGCUCAGUCAGUGGAGCAGGAGAGUCUUGAUCUCGGGGUUGUAAGUUUGAGCCCCAUGUUGGGUGUAGACAUUACAUAAAAAUAAAACCUUUAAAAAAAGAAGUGGUGAGAGUAGAUAUUCUUGCUUUGUUCUCAAAAACACUUUUAGUCUUCCACUACUCAGUAUGAUAUUUGCUAUAGGUUUUUUUAGGUGGUUUUUUAUCUGUUUGAAGAAGUUCCCUUACAUUCAGAGUUUAAGAGGUUCAUCAUGAAUGAGCGUUAGAUUUUGUAAAAUGCUUUUUCUGCAUGUAUUGACAUGACCGUGUAGGUUUUGUCUAUUACAUUAAUAUGACACAUUAUUUUUAUUUUCAGAUGCCAAAACAACCUUGUAUCCCAAGGUAAGUUCUACUUGGUCAUUGUCUCAUGCUGCUGGAUUUGAUUUCCUCGUUUAUGUUCAUGGGGCAUAAUGUGAUGACUUUGGCCUCAACGAGCUUGGAAGUGGAUUCUUUUCCAAAGCCUCUAGUUAGAAGCCUGGUCCAGCUAAUGCCUUGAUUUGAGCCAUGUGACACACUGAGCAAGAGAGCCCUGUUGAGUCUGCCUGGACUUCUGACCUACAAGAAGGCCUACAUCUCUAAUUACUGGCCUGGCCAUGGGACAUCUGAAUCUGGAACACCUGAUCAGCACAUGCCCAACUUGUCGUGAGCGCUCACGUGAAGACUGAGUGGCCUCUGUGAAACUAGCCGCAAGGUAUUCUGGCACCGUACGGGCCACUACAGCUCAAAUGAGGUGUCUGUCUUGAUGAAGGUGAGAGCGCUCUGUCCCCUUACAGACGGGAAGAGGAGGGACACUUGGCAGCAUAGACCCUGCAGCGGGAGCUGGCAUCUCAGCUGAACAGGGCUGAGCUGAGCCGCUAGGGCAGGGCUGUCCAAACAGCCGACACUCCUUUCCUUAGGGCGGUCGUGUAAAUAAAGCUCCACUCGUUUCUAGCCCACAAUUGUUUUCAGUUGUCCCACCGACUCCAAAACAAGGAAUAUUAGACAUUCUGUAAAAAUUAAAGAAAAAAAAAGAUACGGAACAUUGAUUCAGGACUCAGGACCGCUCUCCCAGAACUCGUAGCCUCUGUUCACUCCCAGCCCCCACUCCCUUGCUUGCUCGGACCACGGAACCCAGCAAAACUAAGUGCUCACUUUCCUGGCCUCCCUUGCAGAUAGGGGUGUCCAUCCAAUCCAGUCUGGCCAAUAAGAUCUGAGUAGGAUUCAGCUGGGUGGGAGGGGGGUGGCAUGGCGGUCUGGGGAAAGCUUUUGCUUUUCUGAUACAAAGGGACAGCUGCAGCUGGCUCUGGUCUUCCCCUUUCUUCCUGCCCCAGUUGGGCAUGGUGCCUGGAAUAGGAGCUGCCAUCUUGCAACCAGGAAGGAGAGGCCAAGAGAAUCACAGCAAUGCUGGCUCUGGACCUCGGGAGCUGCUGAACAAAUGCUAACAGCUGCCUGCUGCAGACUUCGUGUUCUAUGAAAAAAUUGAAAACUCGUUUGUUCAUUAUGCUCACUUAUAGCUGAAAGCCUUCCUAACCAAGACAACUAGUAUGCAUUCUUGUCAUGGACAGGCAAAAAAAAAAAAAAAAGGUAGUGGGGGUGGGGGGCUAAGGAUUGUCCAAGUCUAGUUAAUUCAUCAGAAUUUGUAGAAGCUUGUUCUCAAAAGCACAGGAGGUAUCGAGUCCUGCUGGGGUCAGGUCAAAACGACACAGAAGCCGAUUAGAGGAGACCUCACUGGCCAAGGAGGGGGACAAUUUGAACAUUGGAAAACAAUGUCUACACGGGAUUAAACUGAGUUAAGAGUGGACAAAAGCACUUAUCCAAGCACUUACCUUGCCCUUCUGGUAUGAACUGUAUUUCAGAGCAACCAAAGAGGUAAUAAGGAGUUCUUUAGAGAAGAAUUCCAGUUACUACAGACAGAAGGAAUGAUACAGUUAGAAAACCCCCACGCGGGAACACAUGAUGAAAUAAGGAAUCCAGGCAACCACCGUCAGGAAGUAUUAGGUGAGAGGUCGACAGGGAACCUUUGGAUGGACCGUGCUGAUAACACCUGAACCCACUGAUCAAUUUUUACAUCUCUAAAAGUGGGACAGUCAGACAUCAUGUACCUCGUGAUGUAAUACGUCAGAAAGUCCACAGCAUCUGUGAAUCUAAUCCAGCUUACAGUAAAUACAAGAACAGGCUGAAUGACACGAGGAGGAAACCGUCAGCCAAGUCCAGAAGCAACUCGGAGGGAGUCUUUCACCAGCAUCCAGAUGAAGAUCUGAAUUGCACUUCUACCCACUACAGCAUCACCCGCAUUGCGCGUCCUAUCGGCUUUUCCGUGUGGGUCAUUUCCUAAUGAAUUCCUGAGAUGAGUCAACUUUGAAUAUGCCUUUGAAGAAGCCUCAGUCCAAGUAUGUGGAUUUAGGUCCCGUGGGUCCCUUGCUUUCCCAGAAUCUGAACAGCCACCGCCAAGGGAGUGCAGAGGACACUGGCUUUGAACCUUGCAAGGACUGCUUCACUACCUUCCAGGCUUGGUGAGGGCUUCGGUCUGGCAUUGGUAUGCUGGGAGUACCUGCCUCAAAGGACCAGAGAUUUGAGGAUGAAAUAAGGGAGCCCGUGAAGAGUGCAGAGGAGGUUCAGUCCGGGCCAGCUCUACUAGUCCUGGGAAGUAAGUGCAAGCAUCUUUAGAUGCCAUAACAGAAUGUUCAACUCCAGACUUCGUGUGAAAUCAACCCCAAAACGAAGAGACUGAAUUUGAAAGUGCAAAGCCCUUGAGCCCUCCUUUAAUGACACUUAACACACUCCCUUAUAGCGCCCAGGGGCUUGGGUAAGAGCAUUUAAAAUUUAAAAUGCUCAGUUGAGCGCCGACUUCAGCUCAGGUUAUAAUCUUGCGGUUGGUGGGUUCGAGCCCCGUAUUGGGCUGUGUGUUGACCCAGAGCC